CAAUCCAACCCUUCCACUUUUCAUCCAUUCAUUCACUCCUACAUCUCUCUCUCACUAAAUGCACCAACAUCUCAUCUCUCUAUCUCUCUAAAUUCUUGAGUUAAUUUAAUGAUAUCCCAACUAAAUUUGAAAUAAAUUCAUCAUCUUUAUCACCAUUUGAUCAUCAUAUCCAAAGAUCAUAAGUCAAAAUGCAAGAAAUCAUAUUUAAAGCUUAAAUUUUGGAUUUAAGGCUUCUUGAAGGUUUUGGUCGUUGACUUUGAAGGUUCGUGACAUAGUAACUCGACGAGUACUUACAACUUAAUUAUAACUUGACGAUAUAAGGCAAGGUGAACAGGUGAAUCAAAGACGUGUUGGAUGAUGAUUGAUUG